rnacentral:lncRNA from 1 species
CUCCCAAAGACCACCAGUCACACAAUUUGUUGUAACCAGUCUGCAUGAAUACUUCUGGAGCAAUGUAAUCUGGUGUCCCAACUGUGGAAUAUGCCAGUUGUCUCCUGUUCUUCUUCCAAGUUUCUGCUUUCCUCUUUGAGUUCAUGUUCUGAAAUGAGAAGUCACUUGGUGGGUUGUGUGUGAGAUUUCUAUAAAAUUCAGUCCUGUGAGCUUUCUUUAAUCCCGUACAUAAACCAAAAUCAGAUAAUUUUACAUGACCCUUGGCAUCCAAUAAAAGGUUGUCUGGCUUAAUAUCCCGAUGGAUGAAACCCAACUGGUGGAUCGCAUCUAUUGCCAGAACAGUCUCUGAAAUGUAGAACUGUGUUUCCUCUUCUGUCAAGGUGUCUUUCUUCAUUAGCAAUGUCAUCAUGUCACCUCCAGGGAGAAAUUCCAUGAUUAGAUAAAGAUUCCUCUUAUCCUGAAAACUGUAAAACAUCUUCACCACCCAGGC